rnacentral:rRNA from 1 species
GACGAACCACCCAAACGUUAUUCGGAAUUACUGGGCUUAAAGGGUGCGUAGGCGGCGUGGAAAGUUGGGUGUGAAAUCCCUCGGCUCAACCGAGGAACUGCGCUCAAAACUACCAUGCUCGAGGAAGACAGAGGUAAGCGGAACUUCGGGUGGAGCGGUGAAAUGCGUUGAUAUCCGAAGGAACACCGGUGGCGAAAGCGGCUUACUGGGUCUUUUCUGACGCUGAUGCACGAAAGCCAGGGGAGCAAACGGG